AUACGUAGGGUGCAAGCGUUAAUCGGAAUUACUGGGCGUAAAGCGUGCGCAGGCGGUUUUGUAAGACAGUGGUGAAAUCCCCGGGCUCAACCUGGGAACUGCCAUUGUGACUUCAAAGCUGGAGUGCGGCAGAGGGGGAUGGGAUUCCGCGUGUAGCAGUGAAAAGCGUAGAUAUGCGGAGGAACACCGAUGGCGAAGGCAAUCCCCUGGGCCUGCACUGACGCUCAUGCACGAAAGCGUGGGGAGCAAACAGGAUUAGAUACCCUGGUAGUCCACGCCCUAAACGAUGUCAACUGGUUGUUGGGGAUUUAUUUUCUCAGUAACGAAGCUAACGCGUGAAGUUGACCGCCUGGGGAGUACGGCCGCAAGGUUAAAACUCAAAGGAAUUGACGGGG
rnacentral:rRNA from 1 species